rnacentral:tRNA from 1 species
GCAUGGGUGGUUCAGUGGUAGAAUUCUCGCCUGCCACGCGGGAGGUCCGGGUUCGAUUCCCGGCCCAUGCA